GAGGAUCGUCCGCCAUCUUGGAUUUAAAAAUAUCUCCUCCUAAAUUGAAUUAAAUUAGUUUUUUGUUUCUUUACACCUUUCAGAUAUUGUUUCUCCCGUCUAAUAAGGUGCUGAAUAAGAUUUCCUUCAACCUGGAUAGCGUUUAAUUUUAACACAUAUGAACGCGUUAGUAACGGACAUUGUCUCUAAAGUGAAGAAGGCAGGUUGAUUUUGGACACUCCUCCGUCAGCUGGAAGUUUUUCUGAAAAAGAAUAAACCCAACUGGUUGGAAAGGCACCAGUUUCUUUCAUCUCUGAACUUCAAACAACGCAGAUUUUGCUGCAAGGUGUUGAAGACUAGACCAACUACGCAUGCAUACAAAGCAACACUGGCUGGCAUGCUGAUCCAAUCGACAGCUGUCCCCUUUGAUCAGCUGCUUGGCAGGCAGCGACAGAGCUGGUGCCGAUGGUAUGGGUGUCUUGGCGGGUAACUGCCCCUGGCGCAAGGAUAGGGAACAGAUGUUGACGAGGGGGGAGGCAGAGCACUAUAGGACCUGUAUGGGAAAUGGGAUACAGACUGGACUCCAGAGGGAUGGAGUCAGGGAAAGAGUGGAAGGGAUGAGUACAGGGAAAGCAAUCUGCAGGGGAGAAGCUAAAACAAAUCAGGAGGAAAGCCAGAUUUUGUUUUCAUUAUUGCUAUUAUGUUAGCACUUGAAUCUCUUUGAUGCUUACACAGUAGUUCUCGAUAUGAAUGUUCCAGCUUACACAAACUUGAGUCAUAUUUCCUAAUGAACCUUCCAGCUUUAAUAGCUCCCUUGCAGUACUUAUCUGCUAAAGUUUAUUGUCCUCAGUGCACUUCAGAUCUCCAGAAUAUGCUGAGUACACAUGGUGAGUUAGCAGUAGCACCAUAUUAGCUCUGUCUUUGACAAUUAAUUUUAAGUAGUUAACUGCAAUGGACCUUCCUCUGGCAGGGCAUUGACCUAGGGUUUUCACUUGCGAUGCUUCAGGGAAUAUUCUGGGCGUUUGUCCCAUAUCAUUUUCCUCCCUGGGCUUUAAAAGAAAAACAGGUAUACUUUCUUAUACUGCUUUUGUGUACUUCAUUAAGAGCUAGGUCUUAGUUUGAAAAGUUGUAUUUGCUCUGUGCCAUACUGUGACCCUCUUUGUCCUUUCACCUUUUUAUAAUUGUUUUUUCAAAAAUGUGUCAUUAUAUUAAUUUUCAAUCAUUUCUUAAUCAUUUUCGUAAGCAUAAUAUCAUCCUUUUGUUAUCAGUCGCCUGCCUCCUUUAUGCUCAUAUUUCA